rnacentral:rRNA from 1 species
UACGUAGGGUGCAAGCGUUGUCCGGAAUUAUUGGGCGUAAAGAGCUCGUAGGCGGUUUGUCGCGUCUGCUGUGAAAACUCGGGGCUUAACUCCGGGCCUGCAGUGGGUACGGGCAGACUACAGUGCGGUAGGGGAGAUUGGAAUUCCUGGUGUAGCGGUGGAAUGCGCAGAUAUCAGGAGGAACACCGAUGGCGAAGGCAGAUCUCUGGGCCGUAACUGACGCUGAGGAGCGAAAGCGUGGGGAGCAAACAGG